rnacentral:lncRNA from 1 species
GCACACAAUGAAAUCAAGAUGUGCGUGUGUAUGGAAUAUGGUGGAUAGGUGCAUAUAUAGUAUUUAGUGGCUAAUCCUAUUUCUACUUUUGCUCUUUGAAAAUUACUUCCUGCUUUAAAACUUAGAACUUUUGACGAGAAACCAUGCGCUAUCUUUAUUAUUAUUUUUUAUUAUUGUGGGAUGCGGGCAUCGAUGUACCCAUUGUUUUAAUUGCUGGGACACUUGUCCAUCUUUUACUCCCCUUUUUUUCUCUUUUCUUUUUUAAAUACUUUUGCGUAGCUGUUGACGGUGCUUAAGUAUCAAAUUUAGUUAUCAAAUAAACAAAGAAAAGGAUCCAAAUGAAAUCAAUAUCCAGACUUAGGGUUUUAUCUGACAGAAUUCCACGAGUUUUGGUGUUUGUCUAUUUCUGCAGGGAGUUAUCAGGAAAUACGGAAGAAAGGCCAACACGUCGGGAUUACAUAGAGAUAUCAACGUGCCCCGCAAUUAUCUUACAUCUAGAAGACUCCAGAAGC